UGCCAGCCGCCGCGGUAAUACAGAGGGUGCAAGCGUUAAUCGGAAUUACUGGGCGUAAAGCGCACGUAGGUGGGUAUUUAAGUCGAUUGUGAAAGCCCCGGGCUUAACCUGGGAACUGCAGUCGAUACUGGGUACCUAGAGUAUGGUAGAGGGAAGUGGAAUUCCGGGUGUAGCGGUGAAAUGCGUAGAUAUCCGGAGGAACAUCAGUGACGAAGGCGACUUCCUGGACUGAUACUGACACUGAGGUGCGAAAGCGUGGGGAGCAAACAGGAUUAGAUA
rnacentral:rRNA from 1 species